rnacentral:snoRNA from 1 species
UGGACCAAUGAUAAGAGAGAGUCAUGAAACAUGGAUUAAAAUUAAUCCAAGUCUGUGCACUUGAGUUCUGAU